rnacentral:rRNA from 1 species
GACGAACGCUGGCGGCGUGCCUAAUACAUGCAAGUCGAGCGAAGCGGCGGAUGGGUGAGUAACGCGUGGGUAACCUGCCCUUAAGUCUGGGAUACCACUUGGAAACAGAUGCUAAUACCGGAUACUAAAGAAUGGACAUGCGAUGAAUUAGCUAGUUGGUAAGGCAACGGCUUACCAAGGCGAUGAUGCAUAGCCGAAUGGUGAGCGUGAUCGGCCACAAUGGGACUGAGACAGGGCACAAACUCCUACGGGAGGCAGCAGUAGGGAAUCUUCCACAAUGGGCGAAAGAGUGAUGGAGCAACACCGCGUGAGUGAAGAAGGUUUUCGGAUCGUAAAGCUCUGGUGUUAGUGAAGGGGUAAUUAACGAGAAAGUCACGGGUAACUACGUGCCAGCAGCCGCGGUAAUAC